rnacentral:misc_RNA from 1 species
GUCAUUUUAUAUUUCAUAAUUUACUUUGUCAAACAAAACAAGCGUAAAUGUGUGAGUAGAGAGGGAUAUUAUCAUCUCUCGAUAUCUCCCCCCCCAUUCACCCCCCAAAACUGCAAUGAUCCUUCCGCAGGUUCACCUACGGAAA